UCCGUCAUGGUGUAGUGGCUAGCAUUUCAGACUCUCAUUGGCCUUUGUGAAAAGAUCAUGUGAUCUCUGAGAACCCGGGUUCAAUUCCCGGUGACGGAA